UUGAGACCAUAAAUUAAAUUAAGACUUUACCGUAUGAUCUCUUUCACGCCACGAUCUUAAAUGAAAAAUGAUUCUUUGGGUGCACUGGUGAUUCUGUGACGUCUAAAGGUUCCAAGUCAUCAUCUGAGAAAAUUGAGAUGGCAAGAUCUCUUAUAUACAUCAGGGCACCUUGGAAGAACAAAGCUUUGAAAUCUGACGAGCACAGGCCUGUGAUCCAUCCAGAAGUAAUUCAUUGUGUAGAAAUUUAUCAGAAGAGAUACGGCUCUUUGAAAGUAAUAGCUUACCCUUUAGUUACAACUUACACAUACUUAUUCUUAUGGUGAAAGCUCCAGUUUUGAUUUCCAUGACUUGCAGAGCCAGGAAUUUCUUGUGUUGGGAAGCCAAUUCCUUAGUGAUCUAAGGGACAACAUUUAUUGUUUGACUGAUAAGUUGAUGAAGGUGGCUGGGAAACACGAUCUGCUAUAAAACUAAUAUUUUCAUUCUGUUUGUGCUUUUCUAAGGCACCUAACCAGGUUUUGUGAAGCUCGUGUCAGGACCUUCACAUUAUACCAAGAACAUGUGCCCUGUUGUUUCCUUUUCAACGAAACUUCUCUCUUUUCCUCCUAAUCAGAAGACCGUAGCUCAUGAACAAGCCAUGUUGAGCUGUAAGAAGCUGUUGUGGGUGCUGAAAUUAGCGAAGAUGAGAGCUUAGCGACCAUGGGCCUUCCGACAAGUGAUGAAAUGCAAAAGCAAGAAAUUGCCUGUUAUGCGAAGAUGGUGGCCAAAUUGGGGAAGCACAAACUGGUUCAGUUUGCUACAAUACAUUGUCUACGAUGAGAAUAGCUGAAAAUUCUGAAAAUUUCAUAUUUCAUUGUCUACGAUGAGAAUAGCUGAAAAUUCUGAAAAUUUCGGAGCAUCAGCAUAUGCACUUGGGCACACUCAGAUUAUCAUUAUAUUGGAGAAUAUGACCUACUCAUCUGAGCACCAAACACAUGUAUGCCAACUAGCCAAGCUGUUUACCUGCUCAACAUCACUUACAUCAUUGUUGGCUCUGUCAAUUUGAUAGAGUAAAAAUGGAUGAGAAACUGUAUAAUUUUUCAGUUUUGAUAGUGUCAAAUUUUUCAUAUGCCAAGAAACUUUACAAAUAUUCAGUUUUG